CUUGGGUAAUGGUGGCUCCGCGAACCUUGGAAAAGUUCAAGGCCCCAGAACAAACCAUUCCAAUUCAGGAGUGAGGGGAAUGUUGGAGUGAAAUGGGUUGAAGAGUGCAUGGUGGAUGGGAGAUUGAGCAGUUCACAGCCGUCUUGUGAAGAACGCAGGUGCCCGAAGUGACUGGCACCAUUGGCAGAUGAGGACACUGGUGCUCCCGGCAGAGACCUGGAGACGCUGGCUGAUAAUAUUGCACUAUCAUGUGGAAAUCCUCUGACGGCCAGUGCUGGCGGCCAGGACAGGCAAAUGGACGUGCGAUGGAGGAGACCAAGCACAACCUGGAAAGGGGUGUCUCCCGUCAGAGCCCGUGUCGGUCUCACCACCUCCAACCCUUGAACUUGGGAGAUUCUUGCUCUGGGAUCCAUUCCGAAGACUUCCCGCGGCUCUGGCCUUGCAAGAAUUUUCCGAGUCAGACCCUACAUUCCCACCCACUCUUCAGCCGAGAGAAGUCUCACCGCUGCCUCGGCACCUGCGGAAGCAGGUGGUUCUGUCUGUUCUGAUUUACUGCACUUUCCUCAAAUCCCAAUUCAAGAGUUCGCUCAGUAGCCUCCGUCAGAAUGCUCCCCUUGGUACUCGGCACAUGCAGUUCCACUGACACAGCUCCUACGGUGGCCCUAUCCGCUGAACUGCUUUGAGAAAUGUACUGAAUUAAAACUGGCACAUACAUGGGAGAGGAGGUCUUGCUGCCGCUCUGUCCCGGUGGCCUUGAUCUGUGACCUUCCCUUUCUCAUCUGCCUCAGGCAGAUCACCCCCUGCACCUCUCAGAACGUGUUUGCAUUUUAAGCCAACAUCCCUUAAAAUCUUAAACAUAUCUUUUCUUUAUUUUAAGGACAAAAUAAUACAUUUAAGAACAUGCCAAUUUGAGCCUUAAAAUAUGUGCAAAGUUGUGAGGUUGUCACGGUCGUGUUUAUAAGUAGAAUUUGGCGUUCUUGUUCCAUGGUAUUAAUAAAG